rnacentral:lncRNA from 1 species
AUGCCUUGCUUCUCCCUCGCCCUGCGCACACCUUUCUCUCUUUCUUCCUCACUCAGUGCAUGCCUUUCUCUCCUCUUUCACCUCAUGUGUGCUUUUCUCUUCUCCCUCGCCCUGUGCACGCCUUUCUCUGCUUCUCCCUUGCCCUACGCAUCUCUUUCUGCUUCUUCGUCACUCCGCGCACAUCUUUCUUUGUUUCUCCCUCACCUCCCCUUCCUACCCAGUCUUUACUAUCCCCAGCCCCUCUCUCCCACUUUUCCAUCUCCCUUUCCAUCCCCGCCUUUCCCAGGUUCCAGCCUCUCUUUCGCAUUUCAGUCUUGCCUUUGUCCCACAUCAGUUUCCCACUUUCCCAGUCCCUCUUUCUCACCCCAAUCCUUUCCACUUCUUCACUUGCCCUGUCCCUCUUUCUCACCCCAAUUUCUCCAGGUUUUCCCAAUCUUCCCCCUUCAUUCUAGACUGGGGUCUUUUCCACUUUUCUAGCCCUCCUUUCCAUCCCAAUCUUUCCCAAUUUCCAGCCCCAUUUCACACCUCAGUCGUUCCAUCUUCUCCAGUUGCCCCCUUCCCACCCCAAUCUGUCCUAGUUUUCUAGCUACCCCUUUUCCACCUCAUUUUCCCACUUUUCAACCACUUCUUCCAACAUUUUCCCAUUUCCAGUCCUUUUUUCCAACCCCCUUCCCAAGCUAGUCUUUCCCAGUUUUCCUUAUUAAUAUACACACAGCAUUUCCCCCAAAAUUUGUAUCAUAGUUAAAAUAAACUAUGGUGAUUAUUGCAUUGUUGUUGUUGUUGUUGUUAUUGUUGUUAUAUUUAUUAUUUUAUUCUAUAUAUUGUGGUUACAUGUAUUAUUUUACCCUGUUAUUGUUAUUAAAUUAAUUAUUUUACUCUAGCCCCUGGUGGCACAGCAGGUUAAACCACUGAGCUGCUGAACUUGCUGACUGAAAGAUCAGCUAUUCGAAUACAGGGAGUGGGGUGAGCUCCCACUGUUAGCCCCAGCUUCUGCCAAUCUAGCAGUUUGUUUAUUAUUUUACUGUUAUUACUAUUGUUAUUACAUUUAUUAUUUUACUCUAUUAUUAUUAUUUCAUUACUAGCUGUGUUCGGCCACGCGUUGCUGUGGCUUAUGGGAAUCAUUUGUUGACAAGUAGAAUAGUAGUGGAUAGCCUUGCAGGCUCAAAAGCCUGGCUGUUUUCUUCUUAUGGGAAUCCUUGUUUGGUGAACUGGAAUACAAUGGAAUAGGCUUGCUGCUUGGAAGGCUGGGUACUUGCGUUCUAGGGGAAUCGUUUUUUGGGCUGCUAGAAUUGCAAUGAAUAGCCUCGCUGCUUCAAAGCCUGGCUGCUUGCUACCUAGCAGAAUCUUUGGUUGGUCAGCUUCAAUAGUACAGAGUAGUAUCACUGCUUCAAAGCCUGGCUACCUUCUACCAAGGAUAAUCCUUUGUUGGUUUGGUUGAAUUGGACUGAAUAGCCCUGCAGCUUCAAUGCCUGUCUGUGUUAUACUUAGGGGAAUCCUUGUUUGGUGAGCUGGAGUAGCACCCUCAAUCAAAGAGUUGCUUUGAAGCCUAGCUACUUCCUUUGUAGGGGAAUCUUUGUUUGGCCAGCUUGAAUUGCACUUAAUAGUCUUGCAGUUUAAAAGACUGGCCACUUUCUACAUAGGGGCUUCCUUCAUUGGCCAGGUUGAAUGGGAUGGAGUAGCCUUGUGGCUUCAAAGCCUGGGGAUUUUCUACCUAGGGGAAAUCUUGGUUGGCCAGGUUGAACAGCACUGAACAGCCUUGCUGCUUGCAAGCCUGGCUGCUUUCU